CCCCUCUCAGGGUCGCAUCUGGAGAGUUUCCAGUACUCUAACAGUCUCGACUAUGGGAGGAAGAGUCAAGCAGAGGCCUAUCCAUUCCAUUCCUAACUUGGGAAGUGGUUAGUGGGCGGAAGGCAAUCUGCUACAAAC